rnacentral:lncRNA from 1 species
AACGCCAUACGGAAGCGCAACGAACAGAUGAAUUAUCUCCGGCUGUCCUCCCGUCUUGAUGCCGUGGUGGCGCGGCUCGACACACAGGCUAAGAUGACCACAAUCACGAAGUCCAUGGGAAAUAUCGUCAAAUCACUCGAGUCGACCCUCGCAACUGGGAAUUUGCAGAAGAUGUCAGAAACUAUGGAUCAGUUUGAAAAGCAGUUUGUUAAUAUGGAGGUGCAGGCGGGGUUUAUGGAGAGUUCGAUGGCCGGAAGCACCUCGCUGUCGACUCCUGAAGGGGAGGUUAAUAGUCUCAUGCAGCAGGUGGCGGACGAUUAUGGCCUCGAGGUAUCGGUCGGCCUCCCCCAGCCGGCCGCUCAUGCCGUCUCGGUGAAGAAUGGUGAGAAGGCGGAGGAGGAUGGCCUUU